CCUACGGGGGGCUGCAGUCGAGAAUCAUUCACAAUGGGGGAAACCCUGAUGGUGCGACGCCGCGUGGGGGAAUGAAGGUCUUCGGAUUGUAAACCCCUGUCAUGUGGGAGCAAAUUAAAAAGAUAGUACCACAAGAGGAAGAGACGGCAAACUCUGUGCCAGCAGCCGCGGUAAUACAGAGGUCUCAAGCGUUGUCCGGAAUCACUGGGCGUAAAGCGUGCGAAGGCUGUUUCGUAAGACGUGUGUGAAAGGGGCGGGCUCAACCCGCGGACGGCACAUGAUACUGCGAGACUAGAGUAAUGGAGGGGGAACCGGAAUUCUCGGUGUAGCAGUGAAAUGCGUAGAUAUCGAGAGGAACACUCGUGGCGAAGGCGGGUUCCUGGACAUUAACUGACGCUGAGGCACGAAGGCCAGGGGAGCGAAAGGGAUUAGAUACCCCGGUAGUC
rnacentral:rRNA from 1 species